rnacentral:rRNA from 1 species
GAUGAACGCUGGCGGCGUGCCUAAUACAUGCAAGUCGAGCGAACAGACGAGGAGCUUGCUCCUCUGACGUUGGCGGCGGACGGGUGAGUAACACGUGGAUAACCUACCUAUAAGACUGGGAUAACUUCGGGAAACCGGAGCUAAUACCGGAUAAUAUAUUGAACCGCAUGGUUCAAUAGUGAAAGACGGUUUUGCUGUCACUUAUAGAUGGAUCCGCGCCGCAUUAGCUAGUUGGUAAGGUAACGGCUUACCAAGGCAACGAUGCGUAGCCGACCUGAGAGGGUGAUCGGCCACACUGGAACUGAGACACGGUCCAGACUCCUACGGGAGGCAGCAGUAGGGAAUCUUCCGCAAUGGGCGAAAGCUUGACGGAGCAACGCCGCGUGAGUGAUGAAGGUCUUCGGAUCGUAAAACUCUGUUAUUAGGGAAGAACAAAUGUGUAAGUAACUAUGCACGUCUUGACGGUACCCAAUCAGAAAGCCACGGCUAACUACGUG